UUCCAGAUAGAGGCUGGAUUGCGAUGGCUUCCUCACCAAUUGGUUUAUGGUGAAUACGCUUCUAUCAUGUCCCUCUGGUUGUUUUAACUCGGUUUUGUUCAAGAAAUCCUUCUGUUUUCAAGUGUGGGCUGCGACAGUUGCAGAGUUGUUGUCUACUAGCUUUAUUCUUCCCCUACGGUGCGAAUUGUCGUCUUGUUUUCGACGUCGUCGUAUCCAUAAGAGAGUGUGAGGAACUUCGUGUGGUUCUAUCUUGCUGGGUUAUGAAGAAUUUCAUAGGAAUUAUGUUACUUUUAGGCAGUUUGGCUUAUUAAUAGGAGAUUUGGAUUAUUGAUGGUUGGCCGAGGGGAUCUUCAAUAUGUGCUAGUGAAGAUUCCUCUUCAAUUAGAGUUCCUUGAUGGGUUUAGUUUGGUUCCUUUGUGUAGAGCUUUUCAGUUUGGUUUGUCUUGUUUGUGGGAUUCCUCUUUUAUA